rnacentral:rRNA from 1 species
UACGUAGGGAGCAAGCGUUGUCCGGAAUCAUUGGGCGUAAAGCGCGCGUAGGUGGCCCCAUAAGUCCGCUGUGAAAGUCAAAGGCUCAACCUUUGAAAGCCGGUGGAUACUGUGGGACUAGAGUACGGAAGAGGCGAGUGGAAUUCCUGGUGUAGCGGUGGAAUGCGCAGAUAUCAGGAGGAACACCAAUAGCGAAGGCAGCUCGCUGGGACGUUACUGACACUGAAGCGCGAAAGCGUGGGGAGCGAACGGG